UCAUAUCAAUAAGCGGAGGAAAAGAAACCAACAGGGAUUGCCUUAGUAACGGCGAGUGAAGCGGCAAAAGCUCAAUUUGAAAUCGCUUCGGCGAGUUGUAAGUAAAGUGGUUAGACGCUUUUUAAUAAGUCCCUUGGAACAGGGCGCCAUAGAGGGUGAUAGCCCCGUAUUAAAUUGUCUAGUGUGCUACUUUAGAGCGAGUCGAGUUGUUUGGGAAUGCAGCUCAAAUAGGUGGUAAACUCCAUCUAAAGCUAAAUAUUGCUGGGAGACCGAUAGCGAACAAGUACAGUGAUGGAAAGAUGAAAAGCACUUUGAAAAGAGAGUGAAAUAGCGUGUGAAAUUGUUGGAGGGGAAGGCGAUGGUAGGAAUAAGAGGCU
rnacentral:rRNA from 1 species